CGUAGGUGGCAAGCGUUGUCCGGAUUUAUUGGGCGUAAAGCGAGCGCAGGCGGUUCCUUAAGUCUGAUGUGAAAGCCCCCGGCUCAACCGGGAGGGUCGAUUGGAAACUAGGGGAACGUUGAGUGCAGAAGAGGAGAGUGGAAUUCCAUGUGUAGCGGUGAAAUAGCGUAGAUAUAUGGAGGAACACCAGUGGCGAAGGCGACUCUCUGGUCUGUAACUGACGCUGAGGCUCGAAAGCGUGGGGUAGCAAACAGGAUU
rnacentral:rRNA from 1 species